GCCCGAGGGAUCGAAGGUCACAAGCAUUCAAUGUUGGUUUUCAGCCUUGCCGCUUGUGUACAGUGAUUUUUCCAGAUUCUCUGAACCUUUUGAUGAUUUCACGGACCAUAGAUGGUGAAAUCCCUAAAUUCCUUGCAAUAGCUUGUUGAGAAACGUUGUUCUUAAACUGUUGGACAAUUUGUUCAAGCAUUUGUCGACAAAGUGGUGACCUUCGCUCCGUCCUUGUUUGUGAACGACUGAGCAUUUCGCCGAAGCUGCUUUUACACCCACCUGUUUCCAAUUAGCCCGCUCACUUGUGGGAUGUUCCAAAUAAGUGUCUGAUGAGCAUUCCCCAACUUUCUCAGUCUUUUUUGCCACUUGUGCCAGCUUUUUGAACCAUGUUGCAGGACCUCGAAUUCCAAAUGAGCUAAUAUUUGCGAAAAAAUAACAAAGUUGACCAGUUUGAAGGUUAAAUAUCUUGUCUUUGCAGUAUAUUCAAUUGAAUUUAGGUUAAAAAGGAUUUGCAAGUCAUUGUGUUCUGUUUUUAUUUACCAUUUUUGACAAGGCGACAACUUCACUGCUUUUGGGUUUUGUAGAUAAAUGUUUUUAUCAUCACGAUUACAUCCUAGAUAAAUGUUUUUAAUCAUGAUCAUUUUAUCUUAAAUGUUUUUAUGGAGUGUCAGCGUGUGGGGGUGUCGUCUAAAAAUGCUCUUAAAGUGUGAUUUGGUUCCGCCAAACUUCACACAGCUGGAGAGAGAGUGCGGAGCAGCUUGGUAAUUAGAGCGCGGACUGAAGGUCAGCAAAUGUCAGCCUGCUAACAAUACUUCUCUUCCUUAGCUUCAUCAGCAGGAGGCCGGCAGUCAUCAAUCAGUCAUUAAUCAUUCAUCAUCAAUCAUCAACACGCACACUGCGGCUUCCUGCUGACAUCACCUGACACCUGGAGACCUUUACCUGGGCUGCACCUCACCCAGCACACCUUCUGGAGCGUCCACUCAAACACCUACUGGUCCAGUCAUGCGGCGAUAAGGUGAUGCUGUGAUAAAGUGAUGCAGGGAUAAUGUGAUACGGUGACAAAGUGAUGCAUUGAACAAGUCGCGCAGAGAUAAAGUCAUGCAGUGAUAAGGUGAUGCGGUUAUAAAGUCAUGCAGUGAUAAGCUGAUGCAGUGAUAAAGUCAUGUAGUGAUAAGGUGAUGCAGUGAUAAAGUCAUGUAGUGAUAAGGUGAUGCAGUUGUAAAGCCAUGCCGUGUUAAAGUGAUGCUGCGGCAACGUGGUAAAGUGACAAUGUGAUGCAUUGAACAAGUUAUGCGGUGAUAAAGUGAUGCAGUGUUAAAGUUAAAAAGUGAUAAAGUGAUACAGUGUUAAAGUCAUGUAGUGAUAAGGUGAUGCAGUGAUAAAGUCAUGUAGUGAUAAGGUGAUGCAGUUGUAAAGCCAUGCCGUGUUAAAGUGAUGCUGCGGCAACGUGGUAAAGUGACAAUGUGAUGCAUUGAACAAGUUAUGCGGUGAUAAAGUGAUGCAGUGUUAAAGUUAAAAAGUGAUAAAGUGAUACAGUGUUAAAGUUAAAAAGUGAUAAAGCCACGCAGUGAUGGAGUGAGGCAUUGAACAAGUCAGACAGUGAUAAAGUGAUGCUGUGAUAACGUGAUACAGUGACGAAGUGAUGCAUUGAACAAGUCAUGCAGUGAUAAAGUAAUGCAAUGAUAAAGUGAUGCAGUGAUAAAGUGAUAACAUCAUGCAGUGUUAGUUAAAAAGCGACAUUGAGGCAAUGAACAAGUCAUGCAUUGAUAAAAUGAUGCAGUGAUAAAUUGAUACAUUGAUAAAGUGAUGCAUUGAUGAAGUGAUGUAUUGGUAAAGUGAUGCAUUGAACAAGUCAUGCAGUGAUAACGUGAUAGCAUUAUGCAGUGAUAAGGAGAUGCAGUGUUAAAGUUAAAAAGUGAUAAAGCCACGCAGUGAUAGAGUGAGGCAUUGAACAAGUCAUGCAGUGAUAAAGUGAUGAUGUGAUACAGUGACGAAGUGAUGCAUUGAACCAGUCAUGCAGUGAUAAAGAGAUGCAGUGCUAAAGUUAAAAAGUGAUAAAGCCACGCAGUGAUAGAAUGAGGCAUUGAACAAGUCAUGCAGUGAUAAAGUGGUGCUGUGAUAAUGUGAUACAGUGACAAAGUCAUGCAUUAAACAAGUCAUGCAGUGAUAAAGUGGUGCUGUGAUAAAGUGAUGCAGUGAUAAAGUGAUAACAUCAUGCAGUGUUAGUAAAAAAGCGACAUUGAGGCAAUGAACAAGUCAUGCAUUGAUAAAAUGAUGCAGUGAUAAAUUGAUACAUUGAUAAAGUGAUGCAUUGAUGAAGUGAUAUAUUGGUAAAGUGAUGCAUUGGACAAGUCAUGCAGUGACAAAGUGAUAGCAUCAUGCAGUGAUAAGGUGAUGCAGUGUUAAAGUUAAAAAGUGAUAAAGCCACGCAGUGAUAGAGUGAGGCAUUGAACAAGUCAUGCAGUGAUAAAGUGAUGCAAUGAUAAAAUGGUGCCGUGAUGAAGUGUUGCAUUGAAAAAGUCACGCAGUGAUAAAGUGAUAACAUCAUGCAGUGUUAGUUAAAACGUGGUAGUGAGGCAAUGAACAAGUCAUGCGUUGAUAAAAUGAUGCAGUGAUAAAUUGAUAAAGUGAUGCAUUGAAUAGUCAUGCAGUGAUUAAAGUGAUGCAAUGAUAAAGUGCUACAUUGAUGAAGUGAUGCAAUGAUAAAGUGAUAACAUAAUGCAAGUUAUAAAGUGAUGCAUUGGACAAGUCAUGCAGUGAUAAAGUGAUGCAAUGAUAAUGUGAUAUAUUGGUAAAGUGAUGCAUUCAACAAGUCACGCAGUGAUAAAGUGACAACAUAAUGCAGUGAUAAAGUGACAACAUAAUGCAGUGAUAAAGUGAUACAGUGUUAAAGUUAAAACGUGAUAAAGCCACACAGUGAUAGAGUGAGGCAUUGAACAAGUCAUGCAUAGGUAAAGUGAUGCAAUGAUAAAGUGGUGCUGUGAUAAAGUGAUGCGGUGAUAAAGUGAUAACAUCAUGCAGUGUUAGUUAAAAAGUGAUAGUGAGGCAAUGAACAAGUCAUGCAUUGAUAAAAUGAUGCAUUGAUACAUUGAUAAAAUGAUGCAUUGAACAGUCAUGCAGUGUUUAAAGUGAUGCAAUGAUAAAGUGCUACACUGAUAAAGUAAUGCAAUGAUAAAGUGAUGACAUCAUGCAAGUGAUAAGGUGAUGCAAUGUUAAAGUUAAAAAAGGAUGAAGUGAUGCAUUGAACAUGUCAUGCAGUGAUAAAGAAAUAAAGUGAUGCAGUGAUACAUUGAUAAAGUGAUGCAGUGAUAAAGUCAUGCAAUGAUAAGGUGAUGCAGUUAUAAAGCUAUGCAGUGAUACAGUGACAAUGUGAUGCAUUGAACAAGACAUACUGUGAUAAAGUGAUGAGUGAUAAAAUGGUGCAAUGAUAAAGUAAUGCAUUGGUACAGUGAUGCAUUCAACAAGUCAUCCAGUGAUAAGGUGAUGCAGUGUUAAAGUUAAAAAAUGAUUAAGCCAUGCAGUGAUAGAGUAAAGCAGUGAUAAAGUGAGGCAUUGAACAAGUCAUGCAGUGACAAAUUGAUACAUUGAUACAGUGACACAGUGAUAAAGUGAAUCAGUCAUGAAGUGAGGCAUUGAACAGGUCACGCAGUGAUAAAUUGAUAAAGUGAUGCAUUAAACAAAUCAUGCAGUGAUAGUGUUGAGUGAUAAAUGAAUGAUAAAGUGGUGAGUGAUACAGUGAUAAAGUUAUGCAGUGAUAAAGUCAUGCAGUGAUAAAAUGAUGAGUGAUAAAAUGAUACAGUGAUAAAGUCAUGCAGUGAUAAAGUGAUGAGUGAUAAAAUGACAGUGAUAACAUCAUGCAGUGAAAAUAGUUUCCUGGCUUCUUAACAUUCUGCCAAAGUAACACCAUCAAUAAAUAAAUGACUGAAUGAACCAAUAAGUCAUUUUGACCAAUAAACCAACACAUGAAUGAAUGAACACAUGAAUAGUUAAAAUGACUACUUCAUAAAUCAGUAAAUGAACCAAAAUAAUAUUUAUUUUCUACCUCCAAUAUUUUAGAUUUGAUGAAGCAAAGCCACCCCGAUCUAAAUUGGUCCUCCUCCCGUUACCAUGGAAACAACACAUCACUGCUUUAUUCACCAGGAAGCGUGAUUGUUAUCAUAUUAUUAUUAAUUAUUAUUAUUAUCAUUGUGGCUCCUCGUUGUGUUCCUCGGCUGUCCUGCCGGGGGGAGGGACAAAGGGUUGCCAUGGCGACGACACAACAUAGAGACAUUUAUUUCUUCUGUCAACACUCAAACUGCCCACAAGGUGGCGCCACUCGUCACCCACAAAGAUGGAGAACCGCAUGAAAAACAACCCGAAGUGUGCUUCCUCGUCUCCUGGUCUCCUCGACUCCUCAACUCCUUGUGCAAACGCGAGCGUACAGGUGUCAAAAAGACCGGGCUGGAGGGGGCGGGGCCAUCACCCGGGAAGCCCCGCCCUCGUCGGCGAACAGAAAAGCGUGUGAGAGGAAGUCGGUAGAAAAGGGAGAAGAAGAAGAAAAAAAAAGAGUUCUGUCUGGAGAAAUAAAUCCACUUCCUGUUUGCGACCGUCAGUGCAUUCCCAGGACUUCCGGCUGGUGUGUCCACGUGACCUUCGCCUCUCUUCUCAUUGGGCCAGGUCUUUGUGGGGGGCGGGGCUGAGUAACUGGGUGUGGGUGGGGCCGUCACAAAGCGGCCCGCCGGCCCCGCCCACAUGGAGGUUGAGGAAGCAGACAGUUUCCCUGGCGGGCGGCGGCGGUGCUGCGCAGGCGCCGUCCUGCCGCCGCCUGCGCGCCAACGCCCUCAGGUACGCCUCUUGCUCCGCCUCCAGGCGGGGCGUGGCUCCGGUUUGCAUACAGGAAAUCUCGUCGUCGUGGCGACCGAGGACGGAAGCGAUGAUGGGGACGGAGGCCGCGCCGUUUGGUCUCUGCAGGCCGCAGGGGCCGGCGGCGAUGGCGUGGUCCCCCGCAGCCGCUGGCGAUUGCAUAUGUGGGCGUGGCCUCCCCUGCUGAACGACGCUGGACAGGAAGAGAAAAGCGAGCUCCACUUCCUGCAGGUGCUGAUAGGCGGGGCCAGAACUCUUGGACCGCCCACUGGCAAUGGGCGGAGUCCUGCGGGGAGCCGACCAAUGGGCUGCCAGACCUCUUUGCUGCGCACUGUUGAACACAAGACGUUGUUUUGCAACCACUUCCUGUCUCCUUCUUAGCAUGUCAAAAUAAAAGCCCACAGAGAGCA